AGCGAACGCUGGCGGCAGGCCUAACACAUGCAAGUCGAACGGAUCCUUCGGGAUUAGUGUCGGACGGGUGAGUAACACGUGGGAACGUGCCCUUUGGUUCGGAACAACUCAGGGAAACUUGAGCUAAUACCGGAUGUGCCCUUCGGGGGAAAGAUUUAUCGCCAUUGGAGCGUCCCGCGUCUGAUUAGCUAGUUGGUGAGGUAACGGCCCACCAAGGCGACGAUCAGUAGCUGGUCUGAGAGGAUGAUCAGCCACACUGGGACUGAGACACGGCCCAGACUCCUACGGGAGGCAGCAGUGGGGAAUCUUGCGCAAUGGGCGAAAGCCUGACGCAGCCAUGCCGCGUGAAUGAUGAAGGUCUGAGGAUUGUAAAAUUCUUUCAGCGGGGACGAUAAUGACGGUACCCGCAGAAGAAGCCCCGGCUAACUUCGUG
rnacentral:rRNA from 1 species